AGGAGCUGAACAGAUAACAGGUCGAGCAGGAUGUGAUGGGUUAAGCUGCCUUUUAACUCAAAGAUAUUCAGCAAGGAAGAGCAGGGGAAGCAAUGAUGAAGGAAGCAGACAGAGGGGAAUAAAGUGCACUGGAAAUUUAACGCUUCCGUUGAUAGAACACUGCUCUCUUAUUGAUCACAAAGUUACAGAUUUAUUGGAGACACUCGGAUGGAUUUUUGAUGUACAUUGUGGCAAGAAGGCACACAAAAUUUUUCCUUUUUAGACCACGUGUUUUCUGUCUUUGAUCUUAGAUCUCGUACUCUAUCAAAGUAUUACUGAACUCAAGAUCUUUCAGAGUAAUUUGAAAAGAUCUUCAUUCAAACAGAAAACAUUCUAUCUAAGUGCAUUCCAAAGAAUCAAAAGCACACUGGAAAAGAUGUCAGAACUCUGAUUUCCUGUCAUUUCAUUCAUUCAUCAUGUUUAUCCUCCUGGGAAAUAUAUUCAUAUGUUUCUCUCACAGCACUAAAAGAUGGCUACAACUAUCUCGAGUGAUCUCAACAAUGAUUUGUUACUCAGACAGAGUGCGGAGCCUUACUGAGAGCCAGAUUGAGAGAAAUACAAAAACUAAAAACUACCUUUGUGGAAUCAAAAAGGGUAUUUGAGGACCUGCAACAUAAUGCACUGGAACAUAAAAUUCUUCACCCAAUGGGAAGUGAGUGCUGUAUGUCUUCUAUGAAGUUGAAUAAACUUCUGCUCGUUUCAAUUAUGUUGCUGAAUCAAAAGACCAACUCCUAGGAACUGCUCACGAUCAGUUUAGCGCAGUGUUAGCACAAGAAAUGUAUCUUUGGUGGAAAGACAGUUCUGAAGAACAGAAAAAUAUCUGAGGAAAUCUCAUUCAAUUAACUGAAAACAACAAAAAUAAUGAUCCAGACAGAGGCACAUUUCAGAGAAAGAGUAUGCUUUUGGCUCUGAUUAUCCCUGCAUUGACUCAUACAGUUUAAGGGAAAUAUUAUGUCAAAGUAUCUUGUAAUAGCAGAGGAACAAAUAACUAGUGGUAACCAUAAAUGUUCAUGAAAACAAACAAACUUGUGUAUACCAACAUGUACAUAAUGGCAAACAAUAGCAGCUCUAAACAUUGCUUAAUUUAGUGCAGUACCUGAAAAGUCUUUUGUCCAAGAUGUGCUGAAAUUUUCUGGGCAACUUUAUACUUAUUACCCCCUGUUCUGACAUGUUUUAUGAAAAAACUACAGGAAAUUGUACGUAUCUUCUUUAUGCCAGCAGUCAGAAAGGACAAAAGACUCAACUUGCAGUUGAAAAACAUCAGAAAUGCAGAAACAAAUGGUGUUCCAUCACCCACUGUAUACAGUCUCUGUGCUGAACAGCCUAUAUUAGAAAUAGCAUGCACUAGCAAAUAUUGGCAUGUUAUUUCUUUCUUGACAGACUUGAGAAAAGUUUUCUGAAAUUGUCUUACAUAUUAAGAUGUUAAAUAAAACUAAAGUAGAUGUGAAUGCGCUAGCUCCUGUAUUAAAAGUGAUUUAGAUAUGAUUGAGUUAGUUUGAUCCAAAAACAAAAUUGUCCAGUAACAGCAUUAGUAAAUAAUGCCCAGAUCUUUAAACAAAAGAGGUAUUUAGAAACUGUUAAAUAGAAAAUAAAGUUUACUUAAUAACAGUGCAUUUAAUGGACCAAAAAAUAACUCUGUAAGUUAUAAAACAGCAUGGUCUGAAGCAUGUAACUCUGUAAUCUGAAAUCAGGUACAAAUAACAAAUAAAGGUUUUAUGCAGAUGGGUAAACUACAAAAUGUAAGUGCUAUGACAAUGUAAAUGGUACUUAGCAACAGCUGUCUUUUCUGUUCUAAUAUGCAUGAAGGUUUCAAAAUGUACCUUGUGAUAAAGAACAUAAUAUAUCAGCCUUGAUUAUAUCGUUCACCUCAGCUUCUUCCACCAGAAAGUGUGAUAAGGCUCAGAGAAUACAAUAGUCCAGUAUGUUCAAAUGCCUGGGUUUCCCGAGAAGUAUGCAAGGUGCAAAAUAAUGCCAAUUUUUAAUUGCAAGAAAACUAUUAGAUGAGAGUAAACACUGAGUUACAGGAGCCCAGUCACUGUCCAGAGUGUGGGAAAGCUCUGCCUUCUCUGAAAGACUCUGUCCAGGGGCAGUGGAGGUCUUCCUGACAUUAAAGACUGGUUUUAUAGGCGAUCAAAACUGAUUAACCAGAACAAGAUAAUUAUUUAUACAGAGAGAUUACUACUCUGUCAGAUAUCCCAUAUUAAGAAAGAAGUUUUGAGAACAAAUUUCCAUGUUCCUCUCUUCUUUUACAAAAUGAUUCUUAUAGAAGUCCAACAUUUAGAGUUAGUUAUUGUAACAGUAAUGAGACAGUAUUUCUAUGUUACGUCUGUAAUAUAUUUCAAAAAGUUUAGUUCCAGUUGGCUGGACGUGCUUCAUCACGUCUCAAAAGAGAAGGUGUUCCAAAGAGACUGUGGCUACAAAUAUUUCAGAUGUUAAAGCAAAAAGGAUGCAAGAUGAAAAGUGAAAGUGCUGAACACAACUGACCAAAUUAGAAAAUAAGAAAAAAAUGUGGGAAGUCAACAUGAAAGCAAGGAAAUAAAAGAUGCUGCAGUAUACAGAUCCAGGAAAAUAUUGCAGGCACUGUUUUAGAAGCAGCUGUAUUUCUUGAUGUGAAAUAUCUUUUGCUUUAAUACAACCAGUCUCUAUGCACUUGUACUUUAUUAAUAAUAUAACACUUAUGUUGAGUAGUAGAAACAAAAUAUAGAGGAAUUACAGAAAAUACUACUCCGAUUCAUAAAUUCAAUUUUUGUCUGUAGAAAAAAUACAUAGAAAUUUACCUGGGAAAGAUAAAUCUACAGGGACUCUUCAGAGUGUUUAGAAGAACAGAUUCUAAAUAGGGCGCCUCUGCGAUGCUGUGUGUAGUUCUUAAGGAUACCCUCUACUCUCACUGGCAGGAAUUACUGCUCUGCGCUAUGCAGAUGCUGGUGUUCUGAAAACUGUGGGUGAAGAUGGCAGACUUCAUCUUUCUUCCAGUCAUGGCAAUGGCUGUCAGGGGCUCAUUAUGGUUGUCUUCUGCACAGAGGCUUUAAGGGAAGAGUACACCUAUAUCAUCACUUUUCUUCCUGUGUACCAUGUAUAAGGUAUAGGAUUUCCCUUCUGCACUUCUGUGAUUUAAAAUUUCCUACAUAUUUCUGCUGAUAUGUGGAAUUGUUGCUACUUUAUUAUUAUUAUUAUUAUUAUUAUUAUUAUUAUUAUUAUUUUGUGCCAAGAGAGAUUUGUUCAUUCAACUAUCUAUCUACUAAAAUUUCACUGAAAUUCACAAAACUGGUGAUUCCUCUUCUUGGAUUUAGAGCUGGUAAAAGUGAUACAGAUUUUACAUUCUCAAUGCCCAUAUAUAAACUUUAAAUGUAAUGAACAAAUCUUAAACACAAAUUUACAUGUAAUUUACAUAGACACGGUUGAGUUUUAAUAAUAUAGUGUUGAGAGAUGGAAAAAAAUAUGUAUACAUUUUUAUUUUGGCAUAUUUUAUAUAUUUUAUUUUGGCUGUAAAGAAAAAAA
rnacentral:lncRNA from 1 species